GCACACAUGUAAAGCUCUGUUGGUAGAGUAUGAGACUCUUAAUCUCAGGGUUGUGGGUUCGAGCCCCAUGUUGGGCA